AUUCUCCAUUAAUUUUUUAAUCCUAAUAAUUAUCAAUAUAAGAAAUUUUAAUUUCUAAAACCGCCAUAAAAUCAGAAAAGUCUCCUUGGACAAGAUAUUAACUAUUAGGUGCUAAUUAAAUUGAAAAUAAUAAUUAAACAUAUUGCAGCAUCUCCUUAUAGAAUUUUCUCAAUUUAUAAGUUCUAAAUAAUAAUAUUUAAUUUAGUCUAGUACAACGUCAAAUAUAUUUUCCUCUUUACCCAAUGUUAUAAUAAUUUAUCUGCUUAAUUAAAUAAAUUUUAAUAAUACUUCCACCUAAACUUUCAUUAAUAUAUAUAUAAAUAAAUUACUAAAUUCGAGAUUUUAUACA
rnacentral:rRNA from 1 species